rnacentral:misc_RNA from 1 species
GAUGAAGAACGUAGCGAAAUGCGAUAACUAAUGUGAAUUGCAGAAUUCAGUGAAUCAUCGAGUCUUUGAACGCACAUUGCGCCCCCUGGUAUUCCGGGGGGCAUGCCUGUCCGAGCGUCAUUGCUGCCCUCAAGCACGGCUUGUGUGUUGGGCUUCCGUCCCUGGCAACGGGGACGGGCCCAAAAGGCAGUGGCGGCACCAUGUCUGGUCCUCGAGCGUAUGGGGCUUUGUCACCCGCUCCCGUAGGUCCAGCUGGCAGCUAGCCUCGCAACCAAUCUUUUUAACCAGGUUGACCUCGGAUCAGGUAGGGAUACCCGCUGAACUUAAGCAUAUCAAUAAGCGGAGGA